UACAUGUUCCAUGGAUGCAACAAAACAAAGGACUCGUAUUCAUAUUCUAAUUUGUUAAAUGGAGCGGGAUCUUUGUGCUUCAAUGCGUGAAGUAUAAAUUAAAUGUAAAUAGAAGGAAUUAAAUUUUUAUUCAGUAUUACACUUAUUUUUCAACAAAACGACGUCGUUAUACUGAAAAUUUGCCAACAUAUGUACGCUCACUGGGAAGGUCCAGAUUAUUCUAGGAAAGCGAUUCUUGACGUCCCCAGUAGUUACGAGUCCGUCCUCCGUUUGGCGGCUGAGAAAACAAGCCCGAGGAAGGUUUUGGUGAGGUUCGAAAUGGCAACGGAACCUAAGGCAGCGGCUGAGAAUGUGAAAAUUGACCUACUCGAAGAUGAUGAUGAGUUUGAAAUCAAUGAAGGUGUGCAACACAUUUAUUCAAUUUCAGUUUUG